rnacentral:rRNA from 1 species
CCUACGGGAGGCAGCAGUGGGGAAUAUUGCACAAUGGGGGAAACCCUGAUGCAGCGACGCCGCGUGAGUGAAGAAGUAUUUCGGUAUGUAAAGCUCUAUCAGCAGGGAAGAAAAUGACGGUACCUGACUAAGAAGCCCCGGCUAACUACGUGCCAGCAGCCGCGGUAAUACGUAGGGGGCAAGCGUUAUCCGGAUUUACUGGGUGUAAAGGGAGCGUAGACGGUGAUGCAAGUCAGAAGUGAAAGCCCGGGGCUCAACUCCGGGACUGCUUUUGAAAAUGUGUGACUGGAGUUCAGGAGAGGUAAGCGGAAUUCCUGGUGUAGCGGUGAAAUGCGUAGAUAUCAGGAGGAACACCAGUGGCGAAGGCGGCUUACUGGACUGUAACUGACGUUGAGGCUCGAAAGCGUGGGGAGCAAACAGGAUUAGAUACCCUUGUAGUC